GUCCAGAGUUCCUUUUAAAGGUCUUCUUAUCAUUCGUUCCCCCAAUCAGGGACGCCGGAAUCACCUGUUCCUGGUUGCCUCGUCUGUUCGUUACCAAAUAAGGACUUCCACCAGCCGGCGGUCCGCGAUGACGUCAUCAAUCAGCGUGUGGAACGCAUAUGCGUUCCACUUCAAGCAAUCUCGAAAACAGAAAGAAAAUGCUGAGAAAGUACACCCAAAUACUUAAUAUGUAUG